GACGAACCGUGCGAACGUUGUUCGGAAUCACUGGGCUUAAAGGGCGCGUAGGCGGAUCAUCAAGUCCGGGGUGAAAUCUUUCGGCUUAACCGGAAAAGUGCCUUGGAUACUGGUGGUCUCGAGUGAGGUAGGGGCAUGUGGAACUUCUGGUGGAGCGGUGAAAUGCGUUGAGAUCGGAAGGAACGCCCGUGGCGAAAGCGAGGUCCUGGACGCCUACUGACGCUGAGACGCGAAAGCCAGGGGAGCGGAACGGG
rnacentral:rRNA from 1 species